CAAUAGAUUUUAAUUGAUGCUAAAAGAAUGGAAAUUUAAAAAAAAACUUUUUUAAAAAUAAAAAUUGAAUUUUUUUUAAUUUGUGCAAAAACAAUUAUAUUUAUUAAAGACAAGAAGACCCUAAGAAUUUAAGAUUUUACAAUUAAAAAGUUUUUUUUUUAAAAUCUUGAUUGGGGCGAUCAAAAAAUAUUAAUAACUUUUUAAAAUUUAAAUUGAUCUAUUAUUAAUAAACUAAUGAAUUAAAUACUCUAGGGAUAACAGCGAAAUAAUUUUUGAUAAAUCUUAUUGACAAAAUAGUUUGCGACCUCGAUGUUGGAUUAGGAUUCUUUUUUAAUGAAAAAGUUAAAAAAAGAAGUUUGUUCAACUUUUAAAUUCCUACUUGAUCUGAGUCCAAACCGGA
rnacentral:rRNA from 1 species